rnacentral:rRNA from 1 species
CCCUUAGAUGUUCUGGGCCGCACGCGCGCUACACUGAUGCAUUCAACGAGUCUAAAACCUGCUCUGAUAGGGGUGGGUAAUCUUUUGAAUGUGCAUCGUGAUUGGGAUAGAUGAUUGAAAUUUUUCAUCUUCAACGAGGAAUGCCUAGUAAACGCAAGUCAUCAGCUUGCAUUGAUUACGUCCCUGCCCUUUGUACACACCGCCCGUCGCUCCUACCGAUUGAAUGAUCCGAUGAAUAUCAUGGAUUGAGGAUGCUAGUAGGUUCACCUAUCUUCAUCUUCGAGAAGUGAAGUAAAUCUUAUCAUUUAGAGGAAGGAGAAGUCGUAACA